AACGAACGCUGGCGGCGUGCCUAACACAUGCAAGUCGAGCGCGAAUGGAGCAAUCCUAGUAGCGCGGCGCACGGGUGCGUAACACGUGGGUAAUCUGCCUGGGAGACCGGAAUAACCUGCCGAAAGGCUGGCUAAUACCGGAUAAGCCCACGGACUCUCCGGAGUCUGAGGGAAAAGGUGGCCUCUGUAUACAAGCUAUCACUUCCAGAUGAGCCCGCGGCCCANCAGCUCGUUGGCGGGGUAAAGGCCCACCAAGGCAACGACGGGUAGCUGGUCUGAGAGGACGAUCAGCCACACUGGAACUGAGACACGGUCCAGACUCCUACGGGAGGCAGCAGUGGGGAAUUUUGCACAAUGGGCGAAAGCCUGAUGCAGCAACGCCGCGUGUGUGAUGAAGGUCUUCGGAUCGUAAAGCAC
rnacentral:rRNA from 1 species